rnacentral:rRNA from 1 species
UACGUAGGGUGCAAGCGUUAAUCGGAAUUACUGGGCGUAAAGCGUGCGCAGGCGGUUUUGUAAGUUUGUCGUGAAAGCCCCGGGCUCAACCUGGGAAUUGCGAUGAGGACUGCAAGGCUUGAAUCUGGCAGAGGGGGGGUAGAAUUCCACGUGUAGCAGUGAAAUGCGUAGAGAUGUGGAGGAACACCGAUGGCGAAGGCAGCCCCCUGGGUCAAGAUUGACGCUCAUGCACGAAAGCGUGGGGAGCAAACAGG